AGCUCUGGACAGGAAAACAUGAAAACAGAUGAUCCCAAGUAGGUUUCUCCCUAAACUAACAAUUAUUUUUAUUUGUUGAAACUGGACUGAAAUGCAACUGCAGAAGCAACAUGCGACCUUUUAAAGAUGCUUGUGGGACUGCAUAAAGUGAAGAGGGAAACUGGAAAAAACAAUGAACAUUUAUCACCAUCCAGCCACUGUAGAUAAAUUUGAUUGGCUGUCUCCCUGCCUUCCCUUCACACCCAGUACCUUCCCUGCCUGAACUCCUCAUUGAGGGCAAGAACUUUAUCCCCAGGAUCUAAACCAGUGCUGCACAAUAGAUGCUCAUCCCUUCCAUAGGAAACAGGGAAUGUUUGUUUCUGUCUUCUGGUAGGAGAGGGAUUGGUCCCACCCCCAGCUCUAGGGACGGAUCUUGGUUGUUUAAGCCCAGUCAGUGAUGCUAACCCGUGGACCAAGACCCUGCCUUGGAGGUUGGGGAACAGGGGUUGGAAGGGCUCUAUUUUG
rnacentral:sRNA from 1 species